GACGAAACGAGCGAACGUUGUUCGGAAUCACUGGCUUAAAGGGCGCGUAGGCGGGCUGCCUCGUCCGGGGUGAAAUCCCACGGCUCAACCGUGGAACGGCCCCGGGUACGGGCGGCCUCGAGGGGGGUAGGGGCGUGCGGAACUGUGGGUGGAGCGGUGAAAUGCGUUGAUAUCCACAGGAACUCCGGUGGCGAAGGCGGCACGCUGGACCCUCUCUGACGCUGAGGCGCGAAAGCCAGGGGAGCGAACGGG
rnacentral:rRNA from 1 species